GGGCAUUUAAGAGAAGGAAAGGGGAAGAUCUCAAGAACGUUAUAGUUUUCUUCCCUAAAAGGACAUUCCUUGCCAAAGUUCACCAUGGGCCGGGCUGUGGUCUUCCUUACAGUUCUCACUUACUUCACAGGCAUUGAUGGUCAGCCCACCUGGUCUCAGCCCUCCUCCAGCUCUGUGUCCCUGGGAGGAACAGUUACACUCCCCUGCGCAACAACUCAGAGUUCCUACAGCAUUGGCUGGUAUCAACAGAAACCUGGAGAAGGCCCUCGCUAUGUGCAGCGUAGUGAUGGCUACAACAGGGGAGACAGGAUCCCAGAUCGGUUCACUGCCACCAGGUCUGGCAGCACUGGAUCCUUAACCAUCACCAGUGCACAGGCUGAAGACGAGGCAGAUUAUUACUGUGAUAGUUUGAACAGUGCUGGUAAUGCGUUGCACGGUGGCAGAUUCUUAUGGGGAAGUGUGACAAAAACCUUCACUUUUCUUCCUCAGCAUAAAGCAGCCAACCAUAUACUGUGA